rnacentral:piRNA from 1 species
UGGGAAAUUAUGUCUUUCUAAAGAUGUUGC